rnacentral:tRNA from 1 species
GGGGUUGUAGCUCAGUGGUAGAGUGCUCAUCUUGCAUGUGGGAGGCACCAGGUUCGAUCCUCCUGCACCA